UACGUAGGGCGCAAGCGUUGUCCGGAAUUAUUGGGCGUAAAGAGCUCGUAGGUGGCUUGUCACGUCGGGUGUGAAAGCUUGGGGCUUAACUCCAGGUCUGCAUUCGAUACGGGCUGGCUAGAGGUAGGUAGGGGAGAACGGAAUUCCUGGUGUAGCGGUGAAAUGCGCAGAUAUCAGGAGGAACACCGGUGGCGAAGGCGGAUCUCUGGGCCGAUACUGACGCUGAGGAGCGAAAGCGUGGGGAGCGAACAGG
rnacentral:rRNA from 1 species